GACGAACGCUGGCGGCGUGCUUAACACAUGCAAGUCGAACGGAAAGGCCCUGCUUUUGUGGGGUGCUCGAGUGGCGAACGGGUGAGUAACACGUGAGUAACCUGCCCUUGACUUUGGGAUAACUUCAGGAAACUGGGGCUAAUACCGGAUAGGAGCUCCUGCUGCAUGGUGGGGGUUGGAAAGUUUCGGCGGUUGGGGAUGGACUCGCGGCUUAUCAGCUUGUUGGUGGGGUAGUGGCUUACCAAGGCUUUGACGGGUAGCCGGCCUGAGAGGGUGACCGGCCAUAUGGAGUCUGAGAUGCGGCCGAGACUCCUACGGGAGGCAGCAGGGGGAAAUAGUGCACAGGGGGCGGAAGCCUGAUGCAGCAACGCCGCGUGCGGGAUGAGGGCCUUCGGGGUGUAAACCGCUUGCGCCUGUGACGAAGCGUGAGUGACGGUAAUGUGUAAAGAAGCACCGGCUAACCACG
rnacentral:rRNA from 1 species